UACGAACCGUCCAAACGUUAUUCGGAUUUAUUGGGCUUAAAGGGUAUGUAGGCGGCGCCAUCAGUCGGGUGUGAAAGCCCUCGGCUCAACCGAGGAACUGCGCCCGAUACUGUGGUGCUUGAGGGAGACAGAGGUAAGCGGAACUGAUGGUGGAGCGGUGAAAUGCUUAGAUAUGACAUAGAACACCAAUUGCGAAGGCAGCUCACUACGCGAAUAUUGACACUGAGGCACGAAAGCGUGGGGAUCAAGCAGG
rnacentral:rRNA from 1 species